UAGAAUGAUGAAGUAUGCACUGGGCUCUGAGCAGGUUUAAACCUGCGUUAAUUGAUGGAAAUGCAGCCUAGAAAGCUAUCUCUGACAU